rnacentral:rRNA from 1 species
UACGUAGGGUCCGAGCGUUGUCCGGAAUUACUGGGCGUAAAGAGCUCGUAGGUGGUUUGUCGCGUUGUUCGUGAAAACUCACAGCUUAACUGUGGGCGUGCGGGCGAUACGGGCAGACUGGAGUACUGCAGGGGAGACUGGAAUUCCUGGUGUAGCGGUGGAAUGCGCAGAUAUCAGGAGGAACACCGGUGGCGAAGGCGGUUCUCUGGGCAUUACCUGACGCUGAGGAGCGAAAGUGUGGGGAGCGAACAGG